rnacentral:rRNA from 1 species
GAUGAACGCUGGCGGCGUGCCUAAUACAUGCAAGUCGAGCGAACUGAUUAGAAGCUUGCUUCUAUGACGUUAGCGGCGGACGGGUGAGUAACACGUGGGCAACCUGCCUGUAAGACUGGGAUAACUUCGGGAAACCGAAGCUAAUACCGGAUAGAAUCUUCUCCUUCAUGGGAGAUGAUUGAAAGAUGGUUUCGGCUAUCACUUACAGAUGGGCCCGCGGUGCAUUAGCUAGUUGGUGAGGUAACGGCUCACCAAGGCAACGAUGCAUAGCCGACCUGAGAGGGUGAUCGGCCACACUGGGACUGAGACACGGCCCAGACUCCUACGGGAGGCAGCAGUAGGGAAUCUUCCGCAAUGGACGAAAGUCUGACGGAGCAACGCCGCGUGAGUGAUGAAGGCUUUCGGGUCGUAAAACUCUGUUGUUAGGGAAGAACAAGUACGAGAGUAACUGCUCGUACCUUGACGGUACCUAACCAGAAAGCCACGGCUAACUACGUGCCAGCCGCCGCCGUAAAAC